UGCUUGGCCACCGCCUUCCAUCCAUCCGAGCUGCCACCCCUUCGCCGCUUUUCCAGUCCUCCCCACCCCUCAGCAUCCCAACCGUGCUACCCACCCCUCAGUCUCCGAUGCUGCAUGAAGGAUUUCCCCCUCUUCCCGCGGGAUACGCACUAAAAUCACUCUCAUAAUAAUGGACUGCGACGCUCGCUGUAAAUUGACGCGCUAAUGACAAUUUAUUUAGUCUUCAAAUAUGAAUCAUGCGUCUGAUAUUCCAUCUGUGUCUGCUCGCUAGCAUAUUUAUUUCCGUGCCAUCUUCUAUCGCCUCAACCUCUACGGUUUCCAGCUCCGUACAGAAUGAGGAUCUCAGGGAUCAGCAUGUGUCUGAGACCCCACGAGAAGCGACAGCAGCAGCACCGGGCAAUUCCACGGGAAGAAAAACCGGAGAGCACGAAGUCACCGUCACAUAUCCCUCCCGGCUCAUCUACUACUUGAAUGAGGAGUCGGAGAGCACGGAUCAUGACCUGGACACUCGGGCGAGGAACCAGGCCGUUGAUGGACAGGAUGUCCACCUGGCCCAAGCAAGUUUCCAGCUGGACGCCUUUGGCACCACAUUCACUUUGGACCUUACUUUGAACAAUGAUCUGCUCUCUUCAGAUUAUAUGGAAAUCCACUAUGAGAAAGACAAGCCCGUUCUCUCUAGGGGUGGGGAACACUGCUACUACCACGGUCACGUGAGAGGAAAAGAAGACUCCCGCGUAGCUUUAUCCACCUGCAACGGGCUUCAUGGGAUGUUUGAUGAUGGUAAUUUUGUCUAUCUCAUUGAACCUCUGAAACAGACUCACACCGUGGAAACAGAAGCACGACCCCACACUUUGCGCCGUACAUCAUCGCUCCAUGUGACCUCUGUCCCAGGUGAUUGGUCUGCUGAUGACCCAGUUGAGGAAAAGGAAGAGGAGAAACGUAUUUUUGCUAGCAUGCCUUGGCUAAAGAGAAGGAGGAAAAGAGCUAUGCCGCGUAACAUUUUUGAGGAAAUGAAGUAUCUGGAAAUAAUGAUUGUCGCUGACCACAAAACGUUUAAAAGGCACAAGAGUAAAAAGCAUACCAGGAACUUUGCCAAAUCAGUUGUCAACUUUGUAGACGCUAUUUUUAAGGAGCAGCUGAAUACGCGUGUGGUAUUAGUUGCUGUGGAGAUUUGGACUGACAGGGACCGGAUUCCGCUGAGCGUGAAACCAUUGGAAAUGUUAAGAGAUUUUUCAAAGUACAGACAACAGAACAUUAACAUCAACACUGAUGCCGUGCACCUCUUCACGAAUGUGACGUUUCAUUACGGUCGGAGCGGUGUUGCGUAUAUUGGUGGCGUGUGUUCCAAAGAAAGAGGAAUUGGUGUUAAUGAGUUUGGCAGCACAUGGACAAUGGCUGCCUCUCUCUCGCAGAGCUUAGCUCAGAAUCUGGGUAUCCAGUGGGAUCCUGUGACCAGGAGGAAGAAGUGCGGCUGCAUGGAAUCAUGGGUGGGAUGUAUAAUGGAAGACACUGGAGUGCAACACCCACGCAGGUUUUCCAAAUGCAGCAUUACUGACUACAGGAACUUUCUUCUAAGAGGUGGUGCUUCAUGUCUGUUUAACAAACCCAACAAGCUCUUUGAGGCUACAGAAUGUGGGAAUGGUUACACAGAGGUGGGAGAGGAGUGUGACUGUGGGGCCCGAAUGGAGUGCUAUAAAGACUGCUGUAAAAAAUGUUCUUUGUCUAAUGGAGCGCACUGCAGUGACGGCCCCUGCUGCAACAGCACAUGCCUGUUCUACCCACGUGGAUACAGCUGUCGAUAUGCUGUGAAUGAUUGUGACAUAUCAGAGACUUGUUCAGGAGACUCGGGACAGUGCCCGCCUAAUCUUCAUAAGCAAGAUGGCUACUCUUGUCAGCUCAACCAGGGUCGCUGUUACAGUGGUGAAUGUAAGACCCGGGACAGUCAGUGCAAAUACAUCUGGGGUCCAAAGGCUGGAGGGUCAGAGAAGCACUGCUAUGAGAAGUUAAACACAGAGGGGACAGAAAAGGGGAACUGUGGGAGAGAUGGAGACAAAUGGGUGCCCUGCAGCAAACACGAUGUGUUCUGCGGGUACCUGCUGUGCACUAACACUGGGAGAAUCCCAAGGAUUGGGACCCUGAAAGGCGACGUCACUCCCACCACAUUUAACCAUCAGGGGCGACUGGUGGACUGCAGUGGGGGACACGUGCUGUUGGAUGAUGACACUGAUCUAGGGUAUGUGGAAGAUGGUUCACCGUGUGGCCCCUCUAUGAUGUGCCUUGAACGGAAAUGUCUACCCAUCUCCUCCCUGAACCUCACAGCCUGUCCGUCUGGCCCAGGUGGCCGGGUCUGCUCUUCUCACGGCGUUUGCAAUAAUGAAGCAACCUGCACCUGUGAUGCUACAUGGGCAGGAACUGACUGCAGCAUGCACGACCCCCCAAAACAGCCACCCGUCAUUGAGGACCCAGGUCCCAAGGUGAGCGUGGCCACAAACAGGCUGAUAGGGGCAGUGGCAGGGACCAUUCUGGCCCUGGGGGUGAUUUUUGGAGGCACAGGGUGGGGAAUAGAGUCCUAGCGCCACCAACCUUAUCAUAGGCUCCAUCGCAGGGGCCAUCCUGAUGGCAGCCAUAGUGCUGGGGGGGACGGGAUGGGGAUUUAAGGUGAGAGUUUGAGCGGAGAGGGGUGGAGGUUGUGUCGUAGGCAGCCUUUGUGCCAUGGCUGGCUGCCACGCCCUCUUAUCUCCCGGAAGGCCCUGGGCCACCCUGAAAACCUAGAACAGAGCAAGAGCCCUCACCCCCCACCCGGACUCGCCCGGCACCGCUGCCUUUACUGCCUGCUUCACAGAGACCUGGUACAGACACACGCGCUGCACUGCACCUGCAUGCUACCCCAGUCACCCCCCUACACAGCGAUAGUGGCGUCUCCCACCUAACCUCUCUAUGGACAGGUGCAUGUUAAACUGCUGGGAUGCCCCACAUCAAGCCACGCUACGGGGAGGUUGUGUCAAACCCCUGUUGUUGUUGGUGUUGUUGCAGUUCUUGUUGCCUUUCUUGUUGUUCCUGGUGGUAUCGUUGUCGUUCAUGUUGUGGGUGUGAUGUCCUUUUCUGACCCUCGAUGUUGUACACUCUUUCUUGCUGUUUUCUAUGUCUAUGUCCGUGUUUUCUCACAGGAGGUAAUGUUCUUUUUCCACACCCCUCGUUGUCUUUCUAACACAUACUCGCACGUAGUCAGCGGAGGAACACUCUGUGUCUCUCCUUGUCGCUGCGAAGAACUGCCGUUUUUACCCGCCGCAACCCGACGGCAACUAAACAUUAUGUAUAGCUUUCGAUAAAUGAUUUGAAUUGAUCAAGAAGCUAAAGAAACGACCACCACGUGGUUGCUGCGGGUUAAGGCGGUAAGAUGGGCAGCGAAUUGUAUGUUGAUGUCUCUGGCAUUGCCUGCACUAACCCCCAUCUUGUUUGUUUUGUCCUGUUUGUCCUCAUCAUCAAAUGUCAAGAAAAGACGAUAUGACCCUAAUGCCAGUGCCAUCUAAAGAGGCUAAGAGAACUGCAUCCUUGCCAGGUGUGCACCUGGGUUCCGUCAGAACCCGCCGGACUGUACCCUCUCCUGCUGCUGACGCCGCUGCCGACGGCGUUGGCGAUACUUGAAUAUAAAAGGACAGAAAGCGAGAGAAGAAACGGCCGAACAUUUUUCAUCUGCAGUCACAUAAAACUGCUUCUCUAGCGCUGCCCCCGUUCCUUUGCCCCUCUGGCCCUGAGCAUCCACACUGAGCCAUUUAGCAACCCUGAUAACUGGUAGUAGAUAGUACCACUCAUCGGGGCAUGACUUCACGUUUACACGACCCCACCUCCGGUUCCGACCCAGGCAUGACCAGCUUCAGCUGUGGACCUCGCAUGGCAGAGGAGGGACACCAAUGCAAGACAAACAUAAUGUUCAUUAAAAAAAGAAGAAUUAUUUAAGUUCCAGUAGGUUGGUAACACAUCCAUGUGUGUUUGACCAUGUCCUAAGAGAGGGACCCAUAUCGGACAGACAUUUCAGGGCAUAACUUUAAUUUUUAUUUUUUAUUUUAGCAUGUUAUAAUUGCAGGCAUUUUCUGUAGUAUUAAUGAAACAAAUAAACCCAAACAAAAAAGUAAAAAGAAAAUCAAUCCAUUUGGCCAGCAGCAUAUACUGCUGCAUGAUGAAAUCACCACUGUUUUUAUAUGUAUAUAUAUAUAUAUAUAUAUAUAUAUAUAUAUAUAUAUAUAUA